GUGAAUCAUCGAAUUUUUGAACACAAAUUGCACUCUCCUCGGAGAGUAUGCCUGUUUGAGGGUCAGCCUAUAAAAAAUCGACAUCGUUGCUGUUUCGCGGUGGCGUUCGUCGGAAAUUGGGUCAUCUUAAAUCUUUUGGUUUUAAGAGAUUUAAUAUUUUCUUUUUGGUUCCAUGAACGUUUCUAAGAUUUAUUUCUUCACACUUUUAAGGUAUCGAUUUUCACUAUACGUGACCUGCAUAUCGGAUCUCGUCCAUAAUCUUUCAUUAACUGACCUCAUA
rnacentral:misc_RNA from 1 species